rnacentral:rRNA from 1 species
UACGUAGGGUGCGAGCGUUGUCCGGAAUUAUUGGGCGGAAAGAGCUCGUAGGCGGUUUGUCGCGUCGGCCGUGAAAUCUCCACGCUUAACGUGGAGCGUGCGGUCGAUACGGGCAGACUUGAGUUCGGUAGGGGAGACUGGAAUUCCUGGUGUAGCGGUGAAAUGCGCAGAUAUCAGGAGGAACACCGGUGGCGAAGGCGGGUCUCUGGGCCGAUACUGACGCUGAGGAGCGAAAGCGUGGGGAGCGAACAGG